rnacentral:rRNA from 1 species
CCCUUAGACGUUCUGGGCCGCACGCGCGCUACACUGACACAGGCAACGAGCUUUCCUUUACCGAAAGGUAUGGGUAAUCUUUUGAAACUGUGUCGUGCUGGGGAUAGAUCCUCGCAAUUUUUGAUCUUAAACGAGGAAUUCCUAGUAAGCGCGAGUCAUCAACUCGCGUUGAUUACGUCCCUGCCCUUUGUACACACCGCCCGUCGCUACUACCGAUUGAAUGGCUUAGUGAGGCCUCAGGAUCCGCGCUUAAUGUGUGGAGAAUUUGGACAAACUACGUCAUUUAGAGGAAGUAAAAGUCGUAACA